CCUACGGGAGGCAGCAGUAAGGAAUAUUGGUCAAUGGACGCAAGUCUGAACCAGCCAUGCCGCGUGAAGGAUUAAGGCCCUCUGGGUUGUAAACUUCUUUUAUAGGGGACGAAAAAAGGGCAUUCUUGCUCACUUGACGGUACCCUAGGAAUAAGCACCGGCUAACUCCGUGCCAGCAGCCGCGGUAAUACGGAGGGUGCAAGCGUUAUCCGGAUUUACUGGGUUUAAAGGGUGCGUAGGUGGGUUGGUAAGUCAGUGGUGAAAUCUUCGAGCUUAACUCGGAAACUGCCAUUGAUACUAUCAAUCUUGAAUCAUCUAGAGGUAAGCGGAAUAUGUCAUGUAGCGGUGAAAUGCUUAGAUAUGACAUAGAACACCAAUUGCAAGGCAGCUUACUAUGGGAUGUAUUGACACUG
rnacentral:rRNA from 1 species